GACGAACGCUGGCGGCGUGCUUAACACAUGCAAGUCGAACGGUGAAGCCUUCGGGUGGAUCAGUGGCGAACGGGUGAGUAACACGUGAGCAAUCUGCCCUUGACUCUGGGAUAACUUCGGGAAACCGGAGCUAAUACCGGAUAUAACAUCUGGCCGCAUGGUCUGGGUGUGGAAAGAUUUAUCGGUCAAGGAUGAGCUCGCGGCCUAUCAGCUUGUUGGU
rnacentral:rRNA from 1 species